rnacentral:rRNA from 1 species
GUGAGGAAUAUUGCGCAAUGGGGGAAACCCUGACGCAGCAAUGCCGCGUGGGUGAAGAAGGCCUUCGGGUCGUAAAGCCCUGUCAGGCGGGAAGAAUAGCCUCUGGGUUAACAGCCGAGAGGUGUGACGGUACCGCCGAAGGAAGCACCGGCUAACUCCGUGCCAGCAGCCGCGGUAAGACGGAGGGUGCGAGCGUUAUUCGGAAUCAUUGGGCGUAAAGGGCGUGCAGGCGGCCGGUUAAGUCAGACGUGAAAGCCCAAGGCUCAACCUUGGAAGUGCGUUUGAUACUGAUCGGCUUGAGUCCGGGAGAGGGAAGCGGAAUUCCGGGUGUAGAGGUGAAAUUCGUAGAUAUCCGGAGGAACACCGGUGGCGAAGGCGGCUUCCUGGACCGAGACUGACGCUGAGACGCGAAAGCGUGGGGAGCAAACAGGAUUAGAAACCCUUGUAGUCC